AAAGCUAGAGAUAGCAGUUAUAGAUAACUACAAAACUAUAAAAAUGAUCAGAGAAAUGGGGCUGCAGCUUGAGACAGAUGUGUGUCAAGCACGUGUUUCUUGUCUGGACUAGGAAAUGUUAUCGCAUAUUCAUAUGCUGAUUGAAAUUCCUCUAGAGGAGAAAGAAUCUCUAUGACGAAUAGAGAGGGGAACUAUUGCAGAAGCAAAGUCCUUGAGAAGGCAGGAAGCCUAGAAUUCAGAUCCGAAGUAGAAGAAUUGGCCUUCAACAGGAAGAUGACCAUGGGCAUGGAUUGACAAACAUAGUAGGUGGAGAAACACUUCCUUACAGAGAUCACAUGCAAAGAAGCUUAACUACAGCCCAGUUGUCUGGAUUCCACUUUUGGUAUUCUUCUUAGUAUGGGGCAUUCCACGGGACAGGUGCCACUUUGCUUAGGGAGGUACUUAUGAGCACCUUCCAUCAGGGGGAAUAAUUGCUUCACUACAAGAGCUACUCUUUCUACAAGAGUCCAAGUUAAUCAAAGUAGUGGCAAUAAAACUCAACAUUCCUACCUUGGAAUAGUUUUUCUUGCUUUUAACCUCCCUCCUUCAGAGAAGAGAUGGUUAUUGGCUAAUAUACUUUGUAUGCACCCAUUUCAGCAGGUUACUGUCUUAAAUGCAAUGAAUACAAUGAAAGGAAAAGAAAAUUGGCUGCUGGGAACACAUUGAGGCUGUUGUCUUAAUUUGCAUGUAUGUUUAUAAAAAGUAUUGAACUGUAUUAUGAAAAAAACUACACAUGAUAGUGAGUUAAGAUGUUGGAAAAGCUUCAGAGACCAAAAAAGAAAAGCUAAAGGUAUUUAAUUUGGUCAUAUCAACAUGACUGUGUCAUUUAUAUCAGGCACUUACCCAUAGGCCCUAUAGAAACAAGCAUGAGUAUUAUUAAAAGCAUUCAUAGACCUCCAGUAAACUUUAUUUGGUUUUAACUCUAAACCCUAAGUAUGUUUUUUUCAUAGUUGAUUCUUCUUCUAAUAACAUUCAUUAACCAGAAUUUAUGGUAUUUAUUUUGGCUAAUAUUUACUGAGCUCUUGCCAUAUGACAGGCACUGUGUAAACACUUUAAUUGAUAUCUAAUUUAAUCUUCACCACGAUCUUUGAAGUAGAAAUCAUUGAUAUUCUUAUUUUGUAGAUUAGGGAAUCAAGGCACAAAAAGGUUAAUCAACUCACCCAGGUUACACUACAUGAAACAGGGAUAGCGAGGACCAGUACUCAAGCAAUCGCCAGAUCACAACUUUAAAUCUUUCAUGAUCACUCUAACUUCAGCCCUGAAUGUGCAGAGAUAAGAACAGUUAGCGAGUGAACUUACAGAUUAUACUUAUAAAAUGAUUAUUUUUAGGUUCAUGGUCCUUCCAUACAGGUUAUACUGUAGUAUGGAAUACUAUGCUGCCAUAAAAAAGAAUAAGAUCAUGUCUUUUGCAGGGACAUGAAUGGAGCUGGAGGCCAUUAUUCUUAGCAAACUAAUGUCAGAACAGAAAGCCAAAUACUGCAUGUUCUCACUUAUAGGUGGGAGCUAAAUGAUAAGAAUACAUAGGCACAUAGAGGGGAACAACACACACUGGAGCCUAUCCGAGAGUGGAGGGUGGGAGAAGGAAAAGAAUCAAGAAAAAUAACUAAUGGGAACUAGGCUUAAUACCUGAGUGAUUAAAUAAUCUGGACAACAACCCCACAUGACACAAGUUUACCUAUGUAACAAACCUGUACAUGUACCCCCAAAGUUAAAAUAAAAGUUAUCAAAAAAGUGACCUAAUGAUAUCUUAUUUUCAAAAUACCCACUCUCUGUUCUACAUUCAAUUCACAAGGUAUUUUAGAGACUAGAC
rnacentral:lncRNA from 1 species